rnacentral:rRNA from 1 species
AUUCCUACGGGAGGCAGCAGUGGGGAAUAUUGGGCAAUGGGCGAAAGCCUGACCCAGCAACGCCGCGUGAAGGAAGAAGGCCCUCGGGUUGUAAACUUCUUUUAUCAGGGACGAAACAAAUGACGGUACCUGAUGAAUAAGCCACGGCUAACUACGUGCCAGCAGCCGCGGUAAUACGUAGGUGGCAAGCGUUAUCCGGAAUUAUUGGGCGUAAAGAGGGAGCAGGCGGCAGCAAGGGUCUGUGGUGAAAGCCUGAAGCUUAACUUCAGUAAGCCAUAGAAACCAGGCAGCUAGAGUGCAGGAGAGGAUCGUGGAAUUCCAUGUGUAGCGGUGAAAUGCGUAGAUAUAUGGAGGAACACCAGUGGCGAAGGCGACGAUCUGGCCUGCAACUGACGCUCAGUCCCGAAAGCGUGGGGAGCAAAUAGGAUUAGAUACCCUAGUAGUCCACGCCGUAAACGAUGAGUACUAAGUGUUGGAUGUCAAAGUUCAGUGCUGCAGUUAACGCAAUAAGUACUCCGCCUGAGUAGUACGUUCGCAAGAAUGAAACUCAAAUGAAUUGACGGAAU